UGGGGAAUAUUGCACAAUGGGCGCAAGCCUGAUGCAGCCAUGCCGCGUGUAUGAAGAAGGCCUUCGGGUUGUAAAGUACUUUCAGCGGGGAGGAAGGCGAUAAGGUUAAUAACCUUAUCGAUUGACGUUACUCGCAGAAGAAGCACCGGCUAACUCCGUGCCAGCAGCCGCGGUAAUACGGAGGGUGCAAGCGUUAAUCGGAAUUACUGUGCGUCAAGCGCACGCAGGCGGUCUGUCAAGUCGGAUGUGAAAUCCCCUGGCUCAACCUGGGAACUGCGUUCGAAACUGGCAGGCUAGAGUCUUGUAGAGGGGGGUAGAAUUCCAGGUGUAGCGGUGAAAUGCGUAGAGAUCUGGAGGAAUACCGGUGGCGAAGGCGGCCCCCUGGACAAAGACUGACGCUCAGGUGCGAAAGCGUGGGGAGCAAACA
rnacentral:rRNA from 1 species